rnacentral:rRNA from 1 species
CCUACGGGAGGCAGCAGUCGAGAAUCAUUCACAAUGGGCGAAACCCUGAUGGUGCGACGCCGCGUGGGGGAAUGAAGGUCUUCGGAUUGUAAACCUCUGUUAUGUGGGAGCAAAUUAAAAAGAUAGUACCACAAGAGGAAGAGACGGCUAACACUGUGCCAGCAGCCGCGGUAAUACAGAGGUCUCAAGCGUUGUUCGGAAUCACUGGGCGUAAAGUGUGCGGAGGCUGUUGCGUAAGUCGUGUGUGAAAGGCGCGGGCUCAACCCGCGGACGGCACAUGAUACUGGGAGACUAGAGUAAUGGAGGGGGAACCGGAAUUCGCGGUGUAGCAGUGAAAUGCGUAGAUAUCGAGAAGAACACUCGUGGCGAAGGCAGGUUCCUGGACAUUAACUGACGCUGAGGCACGAAGGCCAGGGGAGCGAAAGGGAUUAGAUACCCUUGUAGUC